UACAGAGGGUGCGAGCGUUAUCCGGAAUCAUGCGUGGGCGUAAAGCGUGCGUAGGUGGAAAGUUAAGUGCGAUGCGAAAUCCUGUGGCUCAACCAUAUGGACUGUAUCGCAUACUGGCUAUCUAAGAGGACAUGAGAGGCAAGUGGAAUUACCGGUGUAGCAAGUGAAAUGCGUAGAGAUCGGUAGGAACACCAAUGGCGAAGGCAGCUUGCUGGCAUGAUAUCUGACGCUAAGGCACGAAAGCGUGGGGAGCGAACAGG
rnacentral:rRNA from 1 species